rnacentral:rRNA from 1 species
CCGGGGCUUAACCCCGGGUGUGCAGUGGGUACGGGCAGACUUGAGUGCAGUAGGGGAGACUGGAAUUCCUGGUGUAGCGGUGAAAUGCGCAGAUAUCAGGAGGAACACCGAUGGCGAAGGCAGGUCUCUGGGCUGUUACUGACGCUGAGGAGCGAAAGCAUGGGGAGCGAACAGGAUUAGAUACCCUGGUAGUCCAUGCCGUAAACGUUGGGCACUAGGUGUGGGGAACAUUCCACGUUUUCCGCGCCGUAGCUAACGCAUUAAGUGCCCCGCCUGGGGAGUACGGCCGCAAGGCUAAAACUCAAAGGAAUUGACGGGGGCCCGCACAAGCGGCGGAGCAUGCGGAUUAAUUCGAUGCAACGCGAAGAACCUUACCAAGGCUUGACAUACACCGGACCGGGCCAGAGAUGGUCUUUCCCCCUUGUGGGGCUGGUGUACAGGUGGUGCAUGGUUGUCGUCAGCUCGUGUCGUGAGAUGUUGGGUUAAGUCCCGCAACGAGCGCAACCCUCGUUCUAUGUUGCCAGCACGUGAUGGUGGGGACUCAUAGGAGACUGCCGGGGUCAACUCGGAGGAAGGUGGGGAUGACGUCAAAUCAUCAUGCCCCUUAUGUCUUGGGCUUCACGCAUGCUACAAUGGCCAGUACAAUGGGUUGCGAUGCCGCGAGGUGGAGCUAAUCCCAAAAAGCUGGUCUCAGUUCGGAUCGUGGUCUGCAACUCGACCACGUGAAGUCGGAGUCGCUAGUAAUCGCAGAUCAGCAACGCUGCGGUGAAUACGUUCCCGGGCCUUGUACACACCGCCCGUCAAGUCACGAAAGUUGGUAACACCCGAAGCCGGUGGCCUAACCCUUGUGGGGGGAGCCGUCGAAGGUGGGACUGGCGAUUGGACUAUCAGAAGG